rnacentral:rRNA from 1 species
CCUACGGGGUGCAGCAGUGAGGCAUAUUGGUCAAUGGACGAGAGUCUGAACCAGGCAAGUAGCGUGAAGGAUGACUGCCCUAUGGGUUGUAAACUUCUUUUAUAAAGGCAUAAACCGCGGCCCUUGUGCCUUUUUGCAUGUGCUUUUUGAAUAAGGAUCGGCUAACUCCGUGCCAGCAGCCGCGUUAAUACGGAGGAUCCGAGCGUUAUCCGGAUUUUUUGGGUUUAAAGGGAGCUUAGCUGGGUUUUUAAGUCAGUUGUGAAAGUUUGCGGCUCAACCGUAAAAGUGCAAUUGAUACUGGCAGUCUUGAGUACAGGUGAGGUAGGCGGAAUUCGUGGUGUAGCGGUGAAAUGCUUAGAUAUCACGAAGAACCCCGAUUGCGAAGGCAGCUUACUAAACUGUGACUGACAUUGAUGCUCGAAAGUGUGGGUAUCAAACAGGAUUAGAUACCCUAGUAGUC